UACGGGGGGAGCAAGCGUUGUUCGGAUUUACUGGGCGUAAAGGGCGCGUAGGCGGCGUGACAAGUCACUUGUGAAAUCUCCGGGCUUAACUCGGAACGGUCAAGUGAUACUGUCGUGCUAGAGUACAGAAGGGGCAACUGGAAUUCUCGGUGUAGCGGUGAAAUGCGUAGAUAUCGAGAGGAACACCUGCGGCGAAGGCGACACGCUGGGUCAUACCUGACGCUAAAACGCGACAGCAUGGGGAGCGAACGGG
rnacentral:rRNA from 1 species